GGUUCUUUAGCUCAGUGGGAGAGCACUAGCUCGACAAGCUAGGGGUCGUAGGUUCAAGUCCUACAAGGACCA
rnacentral:tRNA from 1 species